AAAUUGAAGAGUUUGAUCAUGGCUCAGAUUGAACGCUGGCGGCAGGCCUAACACAUGCAAGUCGAACGGUAACAGGAAGCAGCUUGCUGCUUUGCUGACAAGUGGCGGACGGGUGAGUAAUGUCUGGGAAACUGCCUGAUGGAGGGGGAUAACUACUGGAAACGGUAGCUAAUACCGCAUAACGUCGCAAGACCAAAGAGGGGGACCUUCGGGCCUCUUGCCAUUGGAUGUGCCCAGAUGGGAUUAGCUAGUAGGUGGGGUAACGGCUCACCUAGGCGACGAUCCCUAGCUGGUCUGAGAGGAUGACCAGCCACACUGGAACUGAGACACGGUCCAGACUCCUACGGGAGGCAGCAGUGGGGAAUAUUGCACAAUGGGCGCAAGCCUGAUGCAGCCAUGCCGCGUGUAUGAAGAAGGCCUUCGGGUUGUAAAGUACUUUCAGCGGGGAGGAAGGGAGUAAAGUUAAUACCUUUGCUCAUUGACGUUACCCGCAGAAGAAGCACCGGCUAACUCCGUGCCAGCAGCCGCGGUAAUACGGAGGGUGCAAGCGUUAAUCGGAAUUACUGGGCGUAAAGCGCACGCAGGCGGUUUGUUAAGUCA
rnacentral:rRNA from 1 species